rnacentral:rRNA from 1 species
GACGAACGCUGGCGGCGUGCUUAACACAUGCAAGUCGAACGGAAAGGCCCUGCUUUUGUGGGGUGCUCGAGUGGCGAACGGGUGAGUAACACGUGAGUAACCUGCCCUUGACUUUGGGAUAACUUCAGGAAACUGGGGCUAAUACCGGAUAGGAGCUCCUGCUGCAUGGUGGGGGUUGGAAAGUUUCGGCGGUUGGGGAUGGACUCGCGGCUUAUCAGCUUGUUGGUGGGGUAGUGGCUUACCAAGGCUUUGACGGGUAGCCGGCCUGAGAGGGUGACCGGCCACCAUGGGACUGAGGUACGGCCCAGACUCCUACGGGAGGCAACAGUGGGGAAUAUUGCACAAUGGGCGGAAGCCUGAUGCAGCAACGCCGCGUGCGGGAUUACGGCCUUCGGGUUGUAAACCGCUUUCGCCUGUGACGAAGCCUGAGUGACGGUAAUGGGUAAAGAAGCACCGGCUAACUACGUG